rnacentral:misc_RNA from 1 species
CAAGGCAUGCCAAGGCGCCCAUGGGCAAGCCAAAGGCACGUCUUGGGCAUGCAAGGCUCGGCCUAGGCANGGCCAAGGCAMGCCAAAGGCAUGCCAAGGCAAGCCAAAGGCAUGCCWAGGNNCGSCCAWRGNCAAGCCAAAGGCAYGNCCAAGGCAAGCCAAAGGCAUGCCAAGGCAAGCCAAAGGCACGUCUAGGGCAUGCCAAGGCACACCCAUGGCCAGGCCAAGGCUUGCCAAGGCACGCCCAUGGCCAGCCCAAGGCAUGCCAAGGCGCCCAUGGGCAAGCCAAAGGCAUGCCAAGGCACGCCCAUGGGCAAGCCAACGGCAUGCCAAGGCGCCCAUGGCCAGGCCAAGGCACGUCCAAGGCAUGCCAAAGCUCGGCCAAGGCAAGCCAAAGGCAUGCCWAGGCAYGCCCAUGGCMMGKCCAAGGCAUGCCAARGCKCNNCCAWGGNCAAGCCAAAGGCAYGGCCAAGGCAUGCCAAUGCGCCCAUGGGCAAGCCAAAGGCAUGCCUAGGCACGGCCAAGGCAAGCCAAAGGCAUGCCAAGGCAAGCCAAAGGCACGUCUUGGGCAUGCAAGGCUCGGCCAAGGCAUGCCUAGGCACGCCCAUGGCCAGGCCAAGGCAAGCCAAAGGCAUGCCAAGGCAGGCCAAAGGCACGUCCAAGNCAUGCCAAGGCGCCCAUGGGCAAGCCAAAGGCAUGCCAAGGCACGCCCAUGGCCAGGCCAAGGCAUGCCAAGGCGCCCAUGGGCAAGCCAAAGGCACGUCUUGGGCAUGCAAGGCUCGGCCUAGGCAMGGCCAAGGCAWGCCAANGGCAUGCCAAAGGCAAGCCAAAGGCAUGCCAAGGCGCCCAUGGGCAAGYCAAAGGCUUGCCAAGGCAAGCCAAAGGCACGUCCAAGGCAUGCCAAGGCGCCCAUGGGCAAGCCAAAGGCAUGCCAAGGCACGCCCAUGGCCAGGCCAAGACAUGCCAAGGCGCCCAUGGGCAAGCCAAAGGCAUGCCAAGGCACGCCCGUGGGCAAGCCAAAGGCAUGCCCAGGCACGCCCAUGGCCAGGCCAAGGCAAGCCAAAGGCAUGCCAAGGCGCCCAUGGGCAAGCCAAAGGCAUGCAAAACUCGGCCAAGGCACAGCCAAAGGCAUGCCAAGGCAUGCAAAACUCGGCCAAGGCACAGCCAAAGGCAUGCCAAGGCAUGCAAAACUCGGCCAAGGCUAGCAUAUGGGUGCCUUCAAAAAUUAUGAUUCCUCAAAAAUUUAAUGUCUGUUCCUGUCACUUUGCUAAAUGUUCAGAAUGUAUAUAUAGGAGGGGGUGUGGGUUGAGAGCAAGCAUGCCUUAGGGAAGGUUGCCCCCCCUUAUCAUGGCUGUGGGCUGCCAUGAUAUGCUUGCUCGUCCGUUCUAGGCAUGAUUUAAGGUCGAWGGUGGGUUUACGAAAUUUUGUGGUGCAACGACACGUCCCUUUUAUCCAAACGAAGCGUGGCUGGGGUGCUGGGUUGCUUUACUCGUCCAAGGCUUGAUUCUUGGCUUUCCUGGUUUGGUUUCGAGAAGCGGCUGCCGAGGUGUAUUUGAGGCGAUGGCUAGGAUGUUGGAUUCCUGAUUGAUGGAUCCCCAACUGAUUUGUCCGGGGGGCCUCUUGUACGUUGACCGCCUUGCCCGGAAUGGCUAGUUCCCCCGGGGGGGUCGUCAUACGGUAGUCGUGGGAAGUCUGGUCGAGAGCUGGAAGAUUAGUGGGCGCCUGWCGGUUGAGGGCACCUCCCAGGCCCAAGAAUAGCAUUAUUCAGGUUGAGGUCACCUCCCUGAUGAAAACAAUGCUUUGGCCUGUCCUAGUCAUGGUUAUUGUGGAUCGUUGCCUGCUGUUUUUUACAGCGUUGUUGUUGCCACAAGUGGGAUAAUUUCGUUUCGUUCGAUCUUGAUGAAUGUCUAGAACGGCUUGGGUGGGGGGCGGGGGGUUGGGGGGUAUUCGCAUCGCCCGGUGCUUUCUGGGGAUUGCCAUGGCUUUUGGCUGUUCACAAUGCCUUUGUGCCUUGUGGGUUGUCACUAGUUGAGCGGUUCUUGGGAAUGUCCAUCGUAAAGGUGCAUGAGUUGUGUUUGGUUUGUUACGGGUGGUUGGCUCUUUGCUUGUGCAACAACUUCCACCCGGCAUACCUCUUCAGUUGUUUGUUUGGGCAUCUAUUGCUUGGCCAAAUUGUGGGUUUCUGUGUUGCGUACCUAAGCAUUGGUAUUGUCUUGGUUGAUUACAGUUGAUUUCGUCUCGUGCCAUUUUUGUGGCAUCGGAUGAACCACRAAGCAGUCUCUUUGAUCCACAACAUUAUGCUUGCGUUGAUGUUGUGGCCCAUUGAGCGUUGCUUGGUAUCCUGGAUAUGGAAAACGAUGUGGGCAUGGGGUCUCAUGGGAUCCUUGUUUUGCCCUCAUUUAGCGUUUGUGCCUCUCUUAACAUGACUUGCUGUCUUGCCUGRUUUGGCCUUGCCAUCGGGAGGGUUUGUCAAAGUUAACAAUGCUUACUGUCUUGCCUGWNUUNGGCCUUGCCAUCGGGAGGGUUUGUCAAAGUUAACAAUGCYUACUGUCUUGCCUGAWUUGGCYUUGCCAUCRGGAKGRUUUGUCAAAGUUAACAWGACCUACUGUCUUGCCUGAAUCGGCUUUGCCAUUGGGAUCAGGAGGGUUUGUCAAAGAGUGGCGCAUCACCUUGAAAGACUUGCCUGUCCCGUGUUGGCUCGUACCAGCGGGCGGGUUAUGUCAAUUAGGGAUGC